rnacentral:rRNA from 1 species
AUUGAACGCUGGCGGCAUGCCUUACACAUGCAAGUCGAACGGCAGCACGGGAGCAAUCCUGGUGGCGAGUGGCGAACGGGUGAGUAAUGUAUCGGAACGUGCCCAGUCGUGGGGGAUAACGCAGCGAAAGCUGUGCUAAUACCGCAUACGAUCUAUGGAUGAAAGCGGGGGAUCGCAAGACCUCGCGCGAUUGGAGCGGCCGAUAUCAGAUUAGGUAGUUGGUGGGGUAAAGGCCCACCAAGCCGACGAUCUGUAGCUGGUCUGAGAGGACGAGCCACAACACUGGGACGGGGAGAAGGCGAAGAGGCCUACGGGGGGCAGCAGUGGGGGAUUUUGGACAAUGGGCGCAAGCCUGAUCCAGAAAUGCCGCGUGCAGGAUGAAGGCCUUCGGGUUGUAAACUGCGUUUGAACGGAGCGGAACGGCUUCCACUAAUACUGGGGGCUAAUGACGGUACCGUAAGAAUAAGCACCGGCUAAGUACGUGCCAGCCGCCGCCGUAA